rnacentral:tRNA from 2 species
GGGCCAUUGGCGCAGCUGGCUAGCGCGUCUCGUUGACAUCGAGAAGGUCACUGGUUCGAGUCCAGUAUGGCCCA